UUUUUAAUAAAUUUGCCUGAAAAUGGCUGACAGAAAGGCCGAGCUUGAGAGGAAGAAGCUCAAACUAGAGCAAAUGAGGAAAGAAAGAGAGGAGAAAAAUCGACAGCGAAAAGUGAAAGAGGGUGGGGAAGAAAAGAAGGUUGCCCCGACAAGUAGCGGUCAGUCCCAAGAUCUGCGGGCCCAGACCGAUGAGCUGUUAUCCAGUUUAGGAAUCCCCCCUGCAUCAGGGAAUGAUUCUCAGGCUGUGGUACAACCAGUCAAGGAGACAGUAGGCCCCAAUGAAGGGGCACCUGCUACUUCUGCAGUUACCACUCAACAAGCAAGUCGUCGGAAAGCCAAAUUAACGGUGACAAAGGUUGGAGAAACAAACAUUCCACCUCGUGAAAAUGUGACCUACAGCAAAGAGACCCAGACUAUAGUAGUAGAUACCACAGAGAAAGAAGGCAAGUACUCGCAGAUUAUUACAGUUCAUUGCUAGUGCUCUUAGUUUUAUCAUUGCAUCAGCUAAUGUAAUAGUGUAAUAAUGUAAUAGUGUGAUCCUUUAAAAUUUCUAAUGAUGAUUGAUAUAUGAUUGUUUAUCUCUGUGAGCCAACAUUUUAUUUUUGCAGUAAGAUUUUUUUCUAGUCAGUGAAUGAUUGUAAUAAUGUGAUAUUGUAUGAUUCAGCAAGAAUGUGUAAGAAUUAUGAAUACCAUGUUAUGUGCUGAAAAAGAACCUUUGAGUGAUUAUUCCCAAUUUAUAGCUCACAGAGAAAAUCUUUUUUGAAGACACUACAUAAUUGUAAUUUUAUUGUUCUCUUGAUUACAUCUCUCAACAACUGAGUUAGUUAAUGAGAUUUAAUGAUUUUGGUUGUAUAGGCCAUAGAUUUGGAGGUAGGCAUUUUUCUUAAGCAACUUUUUCCUCAGAAGUGAGUCAAUAUAUUUUGUUGCAUUAGAAACAUGAUAUCAGGCUUUGCAUCUCAAUAAAUAUUUGUAUAUCAUUUCUAAGAAGCUGUGUCAUGAUUAAGCAUCGAUGCCUGUUCAUAUCUGGAUGUUGUUUUGGUCAAGAGAUUAAAACUACAUGUACCUUAGUUUCAAAAUAAGAUAAACAUUGUCUAUCUACUACACAAACCAAAAUUUUCAAUUUGUUUUAAGAUAAAUUCUUUAUUUAGAUUUUGUUCUUUAAUCGCCUUAUAGUUACAUGUAGAUCCACUCUGGCCACACAUUACAGACUCUUUUAUCAUCAUUUUUCAUUUGCGAGCAUGCAGUAGAAAAUUAAUUUUUUUCUGUAUUAUUGAAAAUGUGCUAUUGCAACAUUUGAAGAAUGUGUUCUUGGAUUGAUUCUAAAGCAGAAACUUGCAUGUUUCAGUAAAACUAGAUUCUUUAUUCUAUAUACAUGUAAAAGCUUUAAUCAAGAAUGGAAAUAAUGUCAUUAUAUCAGAGAUUUUAAAUGAGAAUUGCUGGGUGUAUCUAUGAUGUAGUCGGAAUGAGUCGGACUGAUUAUUUGACUUAGCCUAAGUUGGUAGCAUUUGAUUUCUAGUACUUACAUGACUGAUUGUUUUCAUGCUUGCAUUAGCCCGAGGGCCAUGGGAUUAUUACGAUGAGGACACAGACUCCAUUGAUGUCCACCCCGCCCCCACUCACCACAAGAUGCCCCACGUGGAGAAUGUGCACCCGACGCUGACCCAGGAGGACAUCCAGAAACAGGAAGAAAAACCAAGUGCACCAGCUACAAAAGUUAUUGAGCUUAGCGAGGAGGAAAAAAAACAGAUUAUGAUGACAGAAGAGUUCCAAACCUUCUUCAAUAAGACGACGCGGGUCGUGGAGCGAGCUCUCGACGAGGAGAUCGAUAUAUUUGUGGAUUACGCGGGUGGAGAGUCGGAAGAUAUGGAGAGUGAUUUGCGGGCUGGGGAGAGACUGAAGCUCCAGAGGAACUUCUUUGACGAGCGAUGGUCUAAGCACCGGACUGUGACCAGUCUUGACUGGUCCAAACAGCAUCCUGAAUUGUUGGUGGCAUCCUACAAUGCUAAUGAGGAUUCUCCUAAUGACCCUGAUGGGGUUACCCUCAUCUGGAACUCCAAGUUCAAAAAGACCACACCCGAAUAUGUCUUCCAUUGCCAGUCGCCCGUUAUGUCAAGCUGUUUUGCGGAGUUCCACCCUAACCUUGUGGUUGGAGGAACCUACUCUGGUCAGAUCGUGCUGUGGGACAAUCGGGUCAACAAGAGAACCCCCAUCCAGCGGACCCCCCUCUCUGCUGCUGCCCACACUCACCCUGUAUACUGUAUCAAUGUGGUGGGCACCCAGAACGCCCACAACUUGAUCAGUGUGUCCACGGACGGAAAGAUGUGUUCAUGGAGCCUGGACAUGCUCUCACAGCCACAGGACAGCAUGGAGCUCCAGCACAAGCAGAGUAAGGCAGUGGCCGUCACCUGUUUCUCCUUCCUGUCCGGCGACGUCAAUAACUUUGUGGUCGGCAGUGAGGAUUGUACUGUGUACACUGCCUGUAGACACGGCGGGAAAACAGGUAUCAGUGAAGCCUUUGAGGGACACAUGGGGCCCAUCACGGGGAUAGACUGCCACAAUGUUCCUGGACAAAUCGACUUCUCCCCUUACUUUCUAACCUCCAGUUUUGAUUGGACGCUCAAACUAUGGAGCAUUAAAGACCAGAAGUUCCUGCACUCUUUUGAGGACAACAGUGACUAUGUGUAUGACGUUCAGUGGUCACCGAUCCACCCCGCCCUGUUUGCUAGCGUGGACGGAGAUGGUCGUCUGGAUCUGUGGAACCUGAACAACGAGACUGAGGUGCCCACUGCGUCAGUUGUAGCAGAAGGGGGUGUGGCACUCAAUCACUGUCGCUGGCAUGGGAGUGGAUCCAGCAUCGCUGUUGGUGACGAUGUCGGACGAAUUCAUAUUUAUGAUGUAGCGGAGAACACUGCAAACCCAAAGAUGGAUGAGUGGUCGCGCUUCGUUAGAACUCUGCAGGAAUUGAAGCAACAAGCAGUGGAGCGUGAAGAGGAGUCGUCUCUCGGAUCGGUAUCCAUGACCUCCCCACUACGAUGAACUACCUUAAUAUUCCUUAUUAUGUGUGGGGCAUCACCUUUAUGACCAAACAAACAUUAUGCUUAAAUAAGAUGGAGAAAGUGCUAAAUGUGAAGGUUGCUAUAAACUGUGAAGCUUAAUUCAAUGGAUAUAUACAAACAAGACUGUGCAAUAUUAAGCUAGGUUCAAUUUGUUUUUUUAUUUAUUAACCAAUUAAUGAUGUAUACAUGUGUACUGUUUUAUUGAGAACACAGUUGCUAUGGAAAUAAAUCAGAGAGACAUUAUC
rnacentral:misc_RNA from 1 species